GCAAGCAUGGCAUAGUGGUUUGAGUGUUGCAUUAUGACUCUGUAGAUCUGGGUUCGAUUCCCUGCUCA